AAGGUAGGGUUGGAGAUCUUUGAAAAACGGUUCCUGUGAGCUAUAUUUUUGAAAAUACACAGCCCGCCUCUCCCUUCAGCCCUCCCCUCAAAGCCACGCCUUCAAAACACAUGAACGCGCAUGCAGUCUGUCAAGCGUUCGGAUUAUCCCGGGAACCCACGAGAGCUCACGAGGCGGGGGGGGGCGGGCUAGAAGCCACGACAAAGCGACUAGCCAAGCUAACUUCCAGCCAUGGCACUGUCUCCGGCUACGACCUUCCACGACCACGAGAGCUCCAGCUCUGACUUUCCUGGCCCAUCACAAUCAUAACGACCUAACAGCCCAGUAGGACCGAUGGCCAGAGAUGGAGGAGGAGGAAGAUAGACGCAGCAGAGGUCGGGGGUAUUGAUUAGGGAGACUCCCAACAGAAUUGACGCCCUGCUAACUGUAAGGAUGUACAUUCAUCCCUCAAUAACAUUGUCCUGCUGUAUUCCUCCAGAUGUGUAAGUAUUGUAAUGGAUGUUAUCACAACGGAUGUACUCUAUAUCGCAACACGAGUAGGCUACACGAGUACACCUGUUGUGAUAACCAUUACAAUAUUUCUACUCCUAUGAGUAGUAGUGUGAUAUUACAUGGUUGUAGGUACACAACACCAGUGGUAGUUCAAGUACAUCCAUAAAAGCCCAUCUACUUCAUACAUCUGUGUAACCCCUG